CGGGGAGAGAACGCAGUGACGU
rnacentral:miRNA from 1 species